rnacentral:rRNA from 1 species
AUUGAACGCUGGCGGCAGGCUUAACACAUGCAAGUCGAGCGAGCGGCGGACGGGUGAGUAAUGUCUGGGAAACUGCCUGAUGGAGGGGGAUAACUACUGGAAACGGUAGCUAAUACCGCAUACUCUCAUAUGUCCCCAGAUGGGAUUUGCUAGUAGGUGGGGGAAUGGCUCCCCUAGGCGACGAUCCCUAGCUGGUCUGAGAGGAUGACCAGCCACACGGGAACGGAGACACGGUCCAGACUCCUACGGGAGGCAGCAGUGGGGAAUAUUGCACAAUGGGCGCAAGCCUGAUGCAGCCAUGCCGCGUGUGUGAAGAAGGCCUUCGGGUUGUAAAGCACUUUCAGCGAGGAGGCGUUACUCGCAGAAGAAGCACCGGCUAACUCCGUGCCAGCAGCCGCGGUAAUUC